rnacentral:rRNA from 1 species
CGGGGUACUCUAUGCUGAGAUCUGAUAGCAAGCUGUACUUGUACAGCGAAGUGGUUGAUGCCAUGCUUCCAGGAAAAGUCUCUAAGCUUCAGUUACACAGGAAUCGUACCCGAAACCGACACAGGUGGUCAGGUCGAGUAGACCAAGGCGCUUGAGAGAACUCUGCUGAAGGAACUAGGCAAAAUGGUACCGUAACUUCGGGAGAAGGUACGCUGUUGUUGGUGAUGGAACUCGCUUCCUGAGCUGACGACAGCCGCAGAAACCAGGCCGCUGCAACUGUUUAUUAAAAACAUAGCACUCUGCAAACACGAAAGUGGACGUAUAGGGUGUGAUGCCUGCCCGGUGCUGGAAGGUUAAUUGAUGGGGUUAGCGUAAGCGAAGCUCUUGAUCGAAGCCCCAGUAAACGGCGGCCGUAACUAUAACGGUCCUAAGGUAGCGAAAUUCCUUGUCGGGUAAGUUCCGACCUGCACGAAUGGCAUAAUGAUGGCGGCGCUGUCUCCAGCAGAGGCUCAGUGAAAUCGAAAUCGCUGUGAAGAUGCAGUGUACCCGCGGCUAGACGGAAAGACCCCGUGAACCUUUACUGCAGCUUGACACUGAACUUUGACCUUACUUGUGUAGGAUAGGUGGGAGGCUUUGAAGCUGGAACGCUAGUUCCAGUGGAGCCGUCCUUGAAAUACCACCCUGGUAAUGUUGAGGUUCUAACUCUGUCCCGUGAUCCGGGACGAGGACCGUGUCUGGUGGGUAGUUUGACUGGGGCGGUCUCCUCCUAAAGAGUAACGGAGGAGUACGAAGGUGCGCUCAGCGUGGUCGGAAAUCACGCGUAGAGUAUAAAGGCAAAAGCGCGCUUAACUGCGAGACCCACAAGUCGAGCAGGUACGAAAGUAGGUCUUAGUGAUCCGGUGGUUCUGUAUGGAAGGGCCAUCGCUCAACGGAUAAAAGGUACUCUGGGGAUAACAGGCUGAUACCGCCCAAGAGUUCAUAUCGACGGCGGUGUUUGGCACCUCGAUGUCGGCUCAUCUCAUCCUGGGGCUGAAGCAGGUCCCAAGGGUAUGGCUGUUCGCCAUUUAAAGAGGUACGCGAGCUGGGUUUAGAACGUCGUGAGACAGUUCGGUCCCUAUCUACCGUGGGCGCUGGAAAUUUGAGAGGAUCUGCUCCUAGUACGAGAGGACCAGAGUGGACGAACCUCUGGUGUACCGGUUGUGACGCCAGUCGCAUCGCCGGGUAGCUAUGUUCGGAAGGGAUAACCGCUGAAAGCAUCUAAGCGGGAAGCCUACCUCAAGAUAAGAUUUCCCUAGGACUUUAUGUCCUCUAAAGAGCCGUUCGAGACUAGGACGUUGAUAGGUUGGAUGUGGAAGCAUAGUGAUAUGUGAAGCUGACCAAUACUAAUUGCUCGUGAGGCUUGACUAU